GACGAACGCUGGCGGCGUGCUUAACACAUGCAAGUCGAACGGAAAGGCCUCUUUCGGGGGGUACUCGAGUGGCGAACGGGUGAGUAACACGUGAGUAACCUGCCCUUGACUUUGGGAUAACUUCAGGAAACUGGGGCUAAUACCGGAUAGGAGCUCCUGCUGCAUGGUGGGGGUUGGAAAGUUUCGGCGGUUGGGGAUGGACUCGCGGCUUAUCAGCUUGUUGGUGGGGUAGUGGCUUACCAAGGCUUUGACGGGUAGCCGGCCUGAGAGGGUGACCGGCCACAUUGGGACUGAGAUACGGCCCAGACGCCUACGGGAGGCAGCAGUGGGGAAUAUUGCACAAGGGGUGGAAGCCUGAUGCAGCAACGCCGUGUGCGGGAGGACGGCCUUCGGGUUGUAAACCGCUUUCGCUCAUGACGAAGCUUUGUGUGACGGUAGUGGGUAAAGAAGCACCGGCUAACUACGUG
rnacentral:rRNA from 1 species